rnacentral:rRNA from 1 species
UCGGGAAUCUUGGGCAAUGGGCGCAAGCCUGACCCAGCGACGCCGCGUGAGGGAUGAAGGCCUUCGGGUCGUAAACCUCUGUCAGGAGGGAAGAAUGGCGGUGAGGUGAACAAUCUCGCUGUCUGACGGUACCUCCGAAGGAAGCGCCGGCUAACUCCGUGCCAGCAGCCGCGGUAAUACGGAGGGCGCAAGCGUUGUUCGGAAUCACUGGGCGUAAAGCGCGUGUAGGCGGCUUGGCAAGUCGGGUGUGAAAUCCCGAGGCUCAACCUCGGAACUGCACUCGAAACUGCCUGGCUCGAGUCCCGGAGAGGGUGGCGGAAUUCCCGGUGUAGGGGUGAAAUCCGUAGAUAUCGGGAGGAACACCAGUGGCGAAGGCGGCCACCUGGACGGUGACUGACGCUGAGACGCGAAAGCGUGGGGAGCAAACAGGAUUAGAUACCCUGGUAGUCCACGCCGUAAACGGUGAGUGCUAGACGUCGCGGGUAUUGACCCCCGCGGUGUCGCAG